CCACAUAUACCUUGUCAAGGAUUACUGAAGCGCUGCACCUACCCCCGUUUUUACACAGUGACCCAUGCACACACAUGCAGACAUACACUAACCCAUACAGACAAACACUGACCCAUACAGACACACACAUACUGAUAUAUACUGACCCAUACAGACACACACUAACCCAUGCAGACACACACUGACCCAAGCAGGCUAACAUACACAAACACAAAUUCUUUGAAACACACAUUGUGAUGUCCCAUUGACCCUCUUACCUUAAUUGCAUAUAUGACUUUUCAAAUCUAAAUGGUAGCUUCACUCAGCC